GAAUGACUGACAUAAUCAGUGCCAAUAAUCCAGAAUUGUUUCUUACCUCUGGACAAGGCUUUAUAAAUUCAUGCUUUAUAACACUUUAUUUCCUAUUAGCUUCCCAUAGCAGAUAAUGACAUAGUUUAUUCCUGAAUCUAUGCUUAUACAUAUUUGUUAUAAAGAAUGUAGACUGUUAUAACAUCAUUACAAAGAAAAUUACACAGACAUACUAAAAUUUCAUCUUAGUCUCUCAGUAGGUGGCUUUUAUAUAAAGGUUACUUUGCCCUUCAGGAAUUCAAAAAUAAAUAGCCUUUCAAGACUAUACUUGCUUCCCCUAACAUCGCAGUAAACCAAACCUUUCAUGGAGUUUGGGAUUAUGCCAUACAUUAAUUUGAUAUAUUCUCCAUUUAACUUUUAUUAUUACUUCAGCCUGUGUCACCUUCUAUUGACAAUAAUUCUGUAUGAAGUUAUUUCUUUUUCCUUCUUUUUACUGCUUAUAUAGCUUGUGGUUAAUCAACCACAGCAGAAUAUUUAAAUAAAAUGAGACUAGGAUAUAGAAACAUGUGCCCUCAAUGGAAAGCUUCACAAUAGUGGGAAUGCAGCGGGAAAAUGCCUGCACACAAGACAAAAGGGAGUGUACAGUAUCCUGGAUUAUAUAAAGCACAAAAUGAUACCUGCAAAAGUUCACUAUAGGUUGACGGUAAUUUGUAAUUUCCAAACAUAAAGAUGAGAAAACUGGUUUCUGUGAGAAGGCAAAGGAACAUCCCAUGACACUCCAGAUGAUGCUUUUUUAAAAACACAAUUUUUAAUUCAUUCACUUUAUAAUUCUGCCUCUACAGUUGCUCCAGAUCUUUUAUGAAAAAACAUAGCCUCUUUCCAUAAUAAUUUUGACACAAAAUUUAAACGAAUAAAUCUAAAACCUCACCCUCCAUAUUGUCCACUUAUCUCAUUUCCCUAAAAAAUGAUCAAAGCAUUUUUAUAAGAUAGCUAUUCCUUUAAGGAACAUUUAUUAAGUACUUCAUGUGGUACAGAAAACCCAAUGAGUUUAAUAAAGACUUGAAACAUACUAUUAUUUACAUAUUAAAUUCAAUAAUAAUUACUUAACUAUCUCAUGGACCAGACAACUAAAUUCUUCUGACAGAUAAUCUCUAACUAUUCUCUAAAAUAAAUGCUGUUUGAUUUUAAUAAACUGCCCUCCUUCUCACAAUACAGUAGAAUGAUCAAUUCUCUUAAAACUUUGGUAUGAUUAGUUCAAUACUAUAUACUCCAUAAAUCAUUCCUCAAUUGAAAUAUAUAAAAUAAAAAUAAAUAUACAAGCAAAAAUGUACAUGCAUGUGACAGUAUACACACUAGUUACAUGCAGAGAAUUUACCAAAUUCAUCAUCUGUUGGCAGAGUUGCUCUUAGACUAAGGCCUUCCAACUAUCACAUCAUAGCAUGCAUGGAAACUGAGGGUUAAAGAGUUAUGGCUGCUUGUGGCCAUAGGCAUCCAGCCUUGGGACUUUAGCCACAGCAAUCUCUAGCCUUUUUCAACCUGUAUGCUGUCUAUUUAGUGAAAGCAAAGAACAUGCAUUUAAGGCACAAUUCAUCCAUUUUUUUUUAAUGCUAAAAAGCAUAUACACAGCAAUGAGAAUCCUUUGAAAAGGAGCAGUAACAUAGCUUCCAAACAGUUUAAUGUGGCAAUAUUAGUGGGAGUGAAAGUAGUAGUCAUAGUAAUGGCUAGCAUGUCUCAAUAAUGUUGCUUCCAUUUCAAAUUCGUAUCUUAUUAAGUUUUCAGAAAUCUAAGAUGCAGGGGUUAAAGACUAGUUACAGAGAGAAAAAAAUGAGGUUAUAGAUGUUAACAAACUGAUUACCAUAACUCAUCAAAGAUGUGACGGAACCUAAAAGCCAUGUUGCCUCAACAUGACCAUUAUGGUAUUAUGCUGUCUCUUAACAAUAAUAAAAUUUUAAACAGAUUACACAAAUGGUUCAAAAAAACCUGAAAUCAUAUGGCACAACUAAAACCAGUAAAAAAAAAAAAAAAAAGAUGAAAAUUCUUUUUGAGUUUUCUCCUAUUCUGCAAUUCCAGCAGAAUAGGAACUGGUUAAGAAAUUGCAAGCUAAUCAUUAGUUUGUGAGUGGGAGGGUGAAGAAAAAAACAAUGAAACCAAGAUCAGGAUAUACUGCCAAGUGUGAAACAAAUGGAGAAAGGAUAUUUUAAAUGAAAAACAGGAGUUCCCACUAUGACUCCAUGGGUUAAGGAUCUGGCAUUAUCUCUGCAGCAUCUAGGGUCAUUGCUGAGGCACAGGUUUGAUCCCUUGCCCAGCUGUGCUGUGGGUUAAGGAUCCAGCUUUGCCAUAGCUGUGGUGUAGGCUGCAGCUGUGGCUCGGAUUUCAUCCUUGGCCAUGGAACUUCCAUAUGCUGAGGGUGUGGCCAAAUAAAUAAAUAAAAUGAAAGACCAAGAAAGAGUGCAAAAGGGCUGAGCAUUUCCUAUAUUGUCUCUAAGCAUGGUUAUAGGUAAACUGGGCAAUGUGAGUAGCAUGGCUGAGACUUGCCCACUGGAACAGCCAUGGUGGAUUGGUUAAAGGUGGAAGUAAGUUUACCAGGAAAAAUCCUAUGACAUAGCCAGUUGUAUUAAAAGUCUGAUGGAGUGACUUAUCAGGUGAAUAAGAGAAAAAGUGGGAGGAAAAGAAAGAAAGAAAUAAAGAAAGAGAGAGAGAGAGAAAGAAAGAGAGAGAGAAAGAGUUGAAAACCCUCAGAGUUACUGCGGAAUACCAGGAUUUCACCUCGCAAAAAAAAAAAAAAACCUACAGAAAUCAUUCUAAAUUGACAGGCCUGGCUUCACUCAAAGACUCUGCUGCCCUUGGGCCAUUUUCCCUUUUCUAAUCUGAAGGGGUAAAUUGGGUUGCUUGUUAUUCUGUCAUUCAGGGAGCUCAGUUAUAACAUUCACAAAUUAGUGCCAAGAUAUAAUCCUCCAACUUCUCCAAUGCAGGGCUGGCUGCAAGGCACUGGGGUUUAACUGUUUCCUCUCUCAUCCUCUAGUAACUGUGACUAUUCCCCAAGACUGAUUUAAAUCCUCAGUUUAAAUGAAGUCACCCUGUCCUUCGAGAUUUAAAUAAUGUUGUCUCCACCCUUCCAGCCAAAGCCCUGCAGGAAGAUCAAUGCUUUCUUUAAUAAUUUUGAAAAUCUGCACUUCUGUUUUGACUCUGAGGUCCUGCUUUCUGGUGCAAUUUCUAUCUCAUUGACUCUUCUGCUUCCCUAGUGGUUUUCCUCCCUCUGCUUUCAUCUACUCAGUAAGUCCCUUCUGCAUAACCUCAAAAAACAAACACACCAACUGGCAUGUACAUACCAUUUCCAUUUUAUAAAUAGGAAACAGGAGUUACAUUUUCCCUACCUAUGAUCGUCAUUGUUACCAUAUUUUUCUUUUAAUACUGAUCUUAUGGGGAAGAUAAAUACAAUUUUGUUUUUGUUUUGUUUUGUUCUUUGCUUGCUUGGUUGGGUUUUUUGUUUUUGUUUUUGCUUUUGUUUUAAUUGGGGUUUUUCUGGAGGGGUGUUUACCAGUUUAUCUUAAAGGUUUUACUAAUAUGAGAUAGAUUUGAAAAUCAGGGUUUAGUACGAAAGAGGACCACUCUGACUUAUUCUUUAAUAGUUUUGCCUUAACUUCUUGAUGAGUCACCUGUGGACAUAACCUGCUCACACAGAACACACUGUCAUAGUGCUCUUAGGGUAGAGGAAGGCAGAGAGUUUAACAGGAGUAGAGACUGAUUCCACCAGGGUCAUGUAGAAACCAGACAUGGCCCUGUGGGGCUCAUGGGCGCAAACACUUUUCUAUGUUCCCCAUUUCUUGUUCUUAGGAAAUGGGCCUCGUUCAGCCAUCAUGACCUUCCCUGAAUUCCUAGGGACAGGUUCAGACAGUUGCUCAUCAGGGAAGGGAGGAGAUGCAAAGACAAGGAUGGAUCAGUCAAGCAACAAUAGUACAUACAGCCUUGGGACAGAAUCCUGGUUCCCUCUCAAGGGAUACACAUAAUAAUAUAGGCAUCUUACACACUUAAGAGAAGAGUUACAUUUCUUAUCUUUUUUUAGAAAUGAAUACUUUAAAAUUGAACAGCUUAGAGUCCUUCCUUGUCCUUCUCCUGGCUUAAUUGCACCCUGAACACCAUCACCCAUAAACUAAAGAUAAGGCACACUGAGCAUAAUUGAUUACAGGUUAAAGAUUAUUAGCACAUGAUGUUUUUCAGCAACUUUCCUAGUUGGUUCUAAUCUCUGAUCAAUAUGUCCUUUUUGUAAGUAGUGUUAUUCUGGACAAAACCCCAGAAGACCACCUCAUGAACAUACCUAGAUCUCCUGACUCCAGCUUUGAUGACUAAGAUUCUCCCAAAGAAAGAAAAAUGCAUGUUUGUCCCAAUCCCGAUUCCUAUCUGAAAACCUGUUCUUCUCCUUUUUACUAUAAAACUCCUCACAAUUCUUUCUAAUGGGGGGGGCACAGUCUUUAAGUCAUUAGCCUGCUAUGACCCUCCUUUGCCUGGCAAAGCUAUAAAGCUAUU
rnacentral:lncRNA from 1 species